rnacentral:rRNA from 1 species
UACGUAGGGUGCGAGCGUUAAUCGGAAUUACUGGGCGUAAAGCGUGCGCAGGCGGUUUUGCAAGCCGGAUGUGAAAUCCCCGGGCUUAACCUGGGAAUGGCAUUUGGGACUGCAAGGCUUGAGUGCGGCAGAGGAGACUGGAAUUCCUGGUGUAGCAGUGAAAUGCGUAGAUAUCAGGAGGAAUACCGAUGGCGAAGGCAGGUCUCUGGGCUGACACUGACGCUCAUGCACGAAAGCGUGGGGAGCAAACAGG